UACGUAGGGUGCAAGCGUUGUCCGGAAUUAUUGGGCGUAAAGAGCUUGUAGGCGGUUUGUCGCGUCUGCUGUGAAAUUUCGGGGCUCAACCCCGAACUUGCAGUGGGUACGGGCAGACUAGAGUGUGGUAGGGGAGACUGGAAUUUCUGGUGUAGCGGUGAAAUGCGCAGAUAUCAGGAGGAACACCGAUGGCGAAGGCAGGUCUCUGGGCCAUAACUGACGCUGAGAAGCGAAAGCAUGGGGAGCGAACAGG
rnacentral:rRNA from 1 species